UGGUUACAAUGUAAGGUUUCCCCCAAA
rnacentral:piRNA from 1 species